UACAGAGGGGGCAAGCGUUGUUCGGAAUUACUGGGCGUAAAGGGCGCGUAGGCGGCCUGCUAAGUCGAACGUGAAAUCCCUGGGCUCAACCCAGGAACUGCGUCCGAUACUGGUUGGCUUGAAUCCGGGAGAGGGAUGCGGAAUUCCGGGUGUAGCGGUGGAAUGCGUAGAGAUCCGGAAGAACACCUGCGGCGAAGGCGGCAUCCUGGACCGGCAUUGACGCUGAGGAGCGAAAGCUAGGGGAGCAAACGGG
rnacentral:rRNA from 1 species